rnacentral:lncRNA from 1 species
CAGCUGCCCACCCUAGUGUUCGAGCUACUGGGUGUGGGAUUCUCUGACACAGCUUAUCUGGCAUGCUGAAUCAAGUAGGUGAUUUCUGAAUCUGAGAGUUAGCAAAGGGAGGAAAAGUUACUCUUCUUUCCAGAUGUCUCCCGAAGAGCAUGUAGCCCUGAGUAUGCAAGGGGAAGCCCUUAGCGCUGACUGCAGAGAUCAUCAGCCUCUUGCAGCCACAGAAGCCUGGCACAUUCCACCACACCUGCACUCAUGCCUGCAAGUAUGAGCUGGGACCCUGGGGUGGGAAAGAGGGCCCUGCUCUGCUCAAAUGGGUAAGUGUCCUCAAGGCAGGAUCUGACCCUCACCAGGGGGCCGGGCUCUUAUUGUCUUGAGGCUCUGAGCAACACUAGCCUGCAUAGGGCUGAAACACGCAAGAGCAGCCAGCUUGCCCCUUCCCUGAAAAAAAAGAUGUUGGACUCACUAGCCCUGAGGAAGUUCACCUCCCUGGUGGUCCCCACAGAGCUGGAGAAGCCAGUUCCCAAGCUGAGGAACACUGACUGGCAGGAGGCCUCGUCACUCUGCACAAAGGGGCACCUACAGAAAGGUGAUGCCACCCCUUCCCCAGGGCCAUGGGUACAGCAG